rnacentral:rRNA from 1 species
CAGCAGCCGCGGUAAUACCGGCGGCCCGAGUGGCGGUCACUAUUAUUGGGCUUAAAGCGUCCGUAGCCGGGUUGGGAAGUCCUCCGGGAAAUCUGGCCGCUUAACGGUCAGAAUGCCGGAGGAUACUCCCAGCCUAGGGGGCGGGAGAGGCCGAGGGGAUUCCCGGGGUAGGGGUGAAAUCCUAUAAUCCCGGGAGGACCACCUGUGGCGAAGGCGCUCGGCUGGAACGCGUCCGACGGUGAGGGACGAAGGCCAGGGGAGCAAACCGGAUUAGAUACCCGGGUAGUCCUGGCUGUAAACGAUGCGGACUUUGUGUCGGACAAGCUAUGAGCUUGUCCGGUGCCGGAGGGAAACCGUUAAGUCCGCCGCCUGGGGAGUACGGCCGCAAGGCUGAAACUUAAAGGAAUUGGCGGG